AUAAUAAUUAGUCUUUUAAAUGGAGGCUGGAAUGAAUGAUUGGACGAGGUAAAUUCUGUCUCAUUAAAAUUAAAAUUUAAAUUUAAUUUUUAAGUUAAAAAGCUUAAAUAUUAUUAAAGGACGAGAAGACCCUAUAGAGCUUUAUAAUAUACUUAUGAAUAAAUUUUAAUUUUAUUUUAUUAAUUAAAUAUUAUUUUGUUGGGGUGAUAGGAAAAUUUAUUUAACUUUUUUAAUUUUAUUACAUUUAUUUAUGAGUUUUUGAUCCUAAAUUUUAGAUUAUUAGAUUAAGUUACCUUAGGGAUAACAGCGUAAUUUUUUUUUAGAGUUCAUAUUAAUAAAAAAGAUUGC
rnacentral:rRNA from 3 species